ensembl:snRNA LOC120099542 U2 spliceosomal RNA
AUCGCUUCUCGGCCUUUUGGCUAAGAUCAAGUGUAAUUAUUGCAUUCAUGUAAGCUAUCCUAAAUUGUACUUUAAAAUAGGUAAGGUGGUAAAGUUUAUGUUGUGUUUACUUUACGACACACAGCAAUAAUAUAUAACCA